rnacentral:siRNA from 1 species
AACUCAGCGAAUGCCUCUGGG